GAUUGCUCUUUGCCAGGGAGCCUUCUUUUCUGAUUUGGUGGGGUUUUCUGCUGCAUGUACUUAUCCCAGAUCUGUUUGUAAUGUUGCUUUAUUUUCCCUUGUGAUGAGGUAAACACAGCUAAAGACUCCAGUUCUGGGUUUGCUCACCUACAGCUCAGGGACACUGCUGUAAAUGACAGUGCACAGCCCAGCCAGGUCAGAAUCCAAAGCUCUGGUUUUAGACAUUGCUCAGCCAUGCAGAUUUGGCCAUGUGUUUAGCAAAGAGACCCUUUCUCUUAAGUUGCCAAAGAACAUCAAAUACACGUUGAGCUGUGGCAUUGAAAAAACCCCACAAGACCUGUGCCUGUGACUUUGGUGAACAGCAGCAAAAGAGAUCACUACCUCCCAUGAAGAAAAGAACCUCUCAGGAAGAGAAGUCAUCUCCAUGCUACCUAAUGUGUGGAAAAAACAACAGCCAGAAGUUUGUUAAAAAAGCAGGCACAGAACUCAAGGAGCCAAGCCAUGUCAGGUGCUGACAGGAAUCUUCUCCAGAUCUCCUCAAGUAAAUGACAUCCCUCCUGCUCCCUCACUUCCUACUUUUGAUUUUCCAUGUGUAGAGCUGUUACAGGGAAUGUGAAAAGGAGAAAACAACACAAAAUCCCCAACCCAAACUUCUCCUGUGAAGAGGAAUUUUUCCAGCCUUCCAAAUCUGCCUGGCCCUGCUGCACCUGUAUCCCAGUAUCAUCCACAGCACCAGUCAGUCAAUUUCUGUAAAUGCCUUAUGCCAAUAUGGUGUCCCUGACCUGUGCUCCUAUGGGAUGCACACCAUGGCUGUGACCCACAUGGAGCUCCCCAGUGCCUGUGGAAAAGCCACCCCCACCCUCCUUCCACCACACUUUGUUCAAGUGAAUCCCACUGUAUAAAACCUACAUCUUCUUCUUUCCUAUUUCUGUACAUCUGGAGGACAGAAUGUGCUGUCUAUAUUUAGUGAAAAAAUAAAACUGUCCACAUUGUGCUCCAUUUAAAUCCGUGGAGAGCUUUGUUCCUGAUUUUAAAGUGGGGAGGGUAGUGUCACUUUUUUCUUCCUGGGCUGGAGCUGCAGUUGCUGAUCUGCUGCCCUUGAAGCCCCAGCACCAAGUCAAAGCCUAUAAAUCAGAGAGCUUUGUGCACUAACAAACACAUGUCAAUGGGCACUAUAGGAAAUGCUUCUGAGAAGUCACAAGACCAAGGAAAAUAAAGACAACAUAAAUUAUUGCCAAUUGUAUCAAAUCAUUAUUAAGAAAUAAAAGGGAAUGCGUUGUUA